AUUUAUUGUAGAUGUUCUUGAAAAAAACUGUUAAUAGUCAUAUAGGUUCAGAAAAAGAAUUCAAAUGCUAAAGAGAAAACAGAACAAGAAGGCCAGCUGACAAAAUUUCACAUAACAAUCAAGAACUUAUAGGUUUGAUGAACAAUGAUUGGCUGCUUUGGAACUGAGGCUGAAAUCUGAAAUCUGUGAACAGCAAUAAGUGAUGAGGGAAAGAUGAAGAAGCAACCUGCAUGCCUGCUGGCUAAAUAAAAUAGACGUGGAGGUCCUGGCAGUCAACAGAUAUCUGAACAAGCAAUAGAAGGGGCUGGGAAAGAUGGACACAGUAACUGGUUAUCUUUCUUUGCUACAGAAUAAAAAUUAGAUUGAAAAAUUGCAACUGCAAACCACCACCCCUCAAACCCAUAAAUCCAAUUCAUUUUUCCAUUUUCAGAAAAAGUCCACAAUGGGUUUUCAGUCUUUUGUAAAAAUACUUAAUCCUUGAUCAAAUUGGUCAAUUAUCACAAGUUCUGCCAUCUUCACGAUCCAUCCCUCCAUGGGGAAAAAAACUGUGCUAAAAUUGCCUGAAACUCUACAGAUCUGCAAGCCUGAAUCUGUUGAACACUGCAAAGGAUCUGCUGCUCAAAGAUUUAAUUGACACUAGAAUAUUUAUCAUCAUGUCUACAAUAUACUAUUGCUUAUACAACUUUCUGGAAUGGAGAAUUUUUCUCUGAUCUUAAUCAAAAUUCCUCCCAUACCUUCCCCCCCCCCAAAAAAAAAACCCCACUGUGGUAAACACAAUAGAUUUUUGAUUGCAACUGCCACAGUUUACAAGUAAAAUAUUGGAAGGCACCGCACCAAAUACACCUGGAACAAAAAAAAAGCCUACAAAAUUAUAUAGUUAUUUUUGAUGUAAUGUCUAUAAUGACUGCUAUAUAAAUAUGAUUUGGGACAAGGGUGAAAUGCUCCCGGUUCAGACCGGAUCGGCUGAUCCAGUAGUGAUGGCAAUGGGUGGUUCGGACAACUGGUAACAAAAAUCCCUGCCUCCACACCCCCCCGCCCAUGCCCAGAUGAGCCAUGUGAUCAUUAGAGCCUUUUUUUUAACCUUCAGCUGAAGAGGUUGAAAAAAAAUGCUUUUAAAAGGUUAAAAAAAAAGGCUCUGACGAUCCCAGCUGAAGCCUGCUAGGCAAAAAAUGGGAGGAGGAGUUCGUUUUUGACAGAGAGGGAGAGAGAGAGGGA